AUGUUUUGGCCAGAGAAUUCUUAUUUGAGCGCCAUUUAUCUGUAUUCUCUCAAUUCUCAUUCAAUUCAUAUACCGCCUCCCAAUUCUUUCAUUCGACUUUCAGACUCUACUUUGAUUAUAUAUGGAAAGUUGAAAAAAAUCAUCUGAUAGAUCUGCGUAUAAUCCAUCUGCUUCAAAGUUAGAUACUCCAUAUUUCUGAUAAAGGGUUUCAUAACAAUCGAUCUGUUUACAACUACAUCAAGGUUUUCAUCAACAGACACAUGACCAAUCCAGGUCGAUUCUCUUCGAUCCAGCCUCAUUAUCGGAGCAAAAGGUUUGAUUUUUUGUUAGCAAUCGACUUGAAGAGAAGUUCAUCUGCAAUGGACAUAUAUGGUUCUUGCAUACAUGAGGAUGCUUCGUGACGAUAAUGCAGAAGUACACACUACGACAUCUGCUAAGCUCAUCAAAUUAUCUUAGUGUUUAUGCCUGUGUAUUAUCUGAUCUGAAUUGCGAUUAAGCUUUUAAAAUACAUGAAUAUAAAAAUCUGUUAUUUAAAUUGAAUGUGUUUACAUAUGGUUAAAGGAAUCAAGUAGAUUCGUCCCCAAAUUUUGCAUCUCCUCAUUCGUCCAAGAAGCUUCGUUGCUUUAGUUUGACUUCUUCGGUUAGGGACUGAAUCUCAGAGGACACCAGUAAAGGCGGUACCUCCAUGUUCCUUUUCUAAACAGAUUGGUGGCGGUCAUGGCUGUAACACUAAAUGCAGUAGUAGAAAUUGCGAAGGAGAAUUACUUGGCAAGUGAUGUAUUUGAUUUAUCUAUUAAGUAGAUCUAAGAAUCUUCAGUUACCUAAAUAUGUAACGGUUCUUUCUAUAUCGGAUGCUAAAUAUGCACCGUGGUAUGCAUCUCUAUAUGAUUACAACGCUCACGCAUUCCAACCAAAACAAUCUGUCAACGGACGGAGUUGUAGGGUGAUUGCAUUUGUUAUGGCUCUUCUAGAUUCUUCAACAACAUAUAGGUUACUAUUGUUGUCUAAAUCCAAAGUGAGGUUGUAGAGACUUUCAGUGCAAAGAGGGCAACAAAAAGUCCAGCUAUGCUGUUGGAUCUUCUAUUCAAGCGUAGAAUUAAUAGGGUAUAUGCAAUAUGGGAUGUCACUGAUAGAAUUACAAUCGUUUCCACGAGGGAAAUGUAGGUUUGAAGUUCAACGAGGUGUCAUCGGUAAAUCCAGUGGUUGUUGCUCCAGUUUUGAAUUGGCCAAGGUCCAUCCUCCACAAUAAACACUAAACACUGAAGCCAGACCCGAACUAAUGUGUAUGUUUAAGUGGCAGUGCAUAAUCCAGGUUCAAUAGACAACAUUAGAUCGCUUGCAGCAACAAGUUGUUUAACGUUGUGGGAUCUUGGGAGAUUUGGUAGUUUGGAGGCACUCCUGGCGUACUGUAUUCUUAUAAUUGGCACAAAGAUAACUAUGUUAUAUUGUUAUGGAACAAAACAUCAACUCUAGAACAUCAUUAUUGAAAGUCACCUUAUUAUUGACCUUCAAAAUAGUUAUUUAUUAUUUUCUUUCAUCGGAUAAUGUGCCUCACAUUAUUUUAAGAAAGGAAUUUUGAUACUUUGACUGCUUAGUCAAAUGUGCUAAUGUUAGUGAUAGUAGCUACAAGAUAGUGGUAACGAAAGAACUUGGUAAAGGUUGCAUAUUGCUAUAAGAUAGUAGUCAACGAAAGAAUGCGAGAUUAGUGGUUACGAAGCUUUAAAAAGCAAAAGUAUUAGAUUAAUAGGUUUUCUAUUGAUAUUUCGAACUGCAGAAACGUAAUUUCAUCACUUAUUAAUCUUUUCGUUUUAUUUAUAUAAAUAAUACAUUGGUUGUUUUAUUUACUUUAUGAACCUGAGAGUUCUAAAAUAAUUUCGUUCUGAUCAUCAUAAACACCUCGAAAACAUAUUAUUUUUUCCAAACCGCGAAGUUCGCGGGUAUUAGCACUAGUAUGUCUUUGGCCAGAGAAUUCUUAUUUGAGCGCCAUUUAUCUAUAUUCUCUCAAUUCUCAUUCAAUUCAUAUACCGCCUCCCAAUUCCUUCAUUCGACUUUCAGACUCUACUUUGAUUAUAUAUGGAAAGUUGAAAAAAAUCAUCAAUUAGUGGAAGAUCUUUUGCGAAAAUAUGGAAGCGUUUCCAAUUUUACCGCCUAUAUACAGUUUAUGGCUUUUAAUCGGAGGAUUCAAGGACCAUUCGAGUCGCCUGUUUUGUUUUAUCUUGAUCAUCCAUCGAAACUGAAGCAUCUGUAUGGAUUGUGGCUUUCUGGUUCAUACGACGGAUCCGUAUAAAUCUGAAUUGGUCAGGAACCCUGUUUUAUUUGCUAAAUUGUGGUUUCCCCCUAUUUUGAAUCCUUAUUUGAUUUAACCCUGUUCUGAUACAAAGAAAGCAAUUGAGUUGGACUGCUUGAAUCCAAAGGCAUAUCUGCGCAAUUUGACCUUUUUAUAACUUUUUUUUUGUUGUCAGUUGUGUGUCUGAUGAUGAUGAUCCAUAUCUCUUUUAUUUCACUUUUUGUUUGUUCGCAAGAAACUCCAUCGCACACAUGUCUAUGACAUAAAGAUGAUCCAGUGAGACUGAACCUUCUGGUGUUGGUUAGCCAUCGUACGCUACGGCGAUGCUACAUACUCCGACGCGUGAACUAUAUAAGGUUGCAAAUUGGAGAACAAGGACACCUUUGGUGGUGUCGGUUUGGUUAAAGGAUGGGCGGUGGUGUUGAUAUCGGUGAGAGCAGCCGUCAACUCGAGCGACUAUAGCGUGCGAUGAAGGGCUUUAAUGGUGUGGUGGUCUUAAAUCAGAGCAGCCAUGAUCUACAGAUAACCGAUUUUUUAUAUGUAAUAUACUGAGUUUAAAAGAUUUGCGAUUUAUAGAUAACCGGUGAAACAAUUGGUAAAGUGAAAGCGGUGGCAGAAUGCACGAAAGAAAAGCUGAGAUGGCUCGCCAAGCUGGCUCCUUUAUUGGUCUUUCAGGCGGUUAUGGCACUAUUGAAGAAAUAUUGGAACAUGGGCUAAGCUAAAAAUCCAUCAUAAACUGGCCACAUGCAUAUCAUCUGCUGCUGAAGCACUUGAACCAUUUAUUUUAUGAGUCGAUACAUUUGGAAUCCAGAAGAUGAAAAAGUUUAUUGUUUAUGGAGGUAGUGACUUUAAUGACAUGUCCAAUAUAGACAUCACAUUUUGCGGUAGUUCAUAUGGCAAUAUGCAAGACGAAGAGCUUUUUUUUUGCCUCGUGUUGCGGUGCUACAUCAUGUCUUGGGCCAUUGGCAUCUUGCAACAUCAAAGACAAAGACAUGUGAGCCUAAAUAUAAGUUUGGUUUAAAAAUCAUGAGGCGCUCCAAGGAGAUUAGGCCCUGAAAGCUGAGAUGCGAAGCGCUAGGCGCGAGGCGAGAGCGUCACAUAGGGUUGAUGAUUGGCUUCAAGAGAAGGUCGACAAGUUAUAGGCCAUAAUCAUUCAUAUGGUGUACCACUGCCACACUCAACUAGGUUUUUGAUGGAUUACUAGGACCUUACUGGAAAGCAAUAGGAGUGGCAUUUAACUGUACUUUUUUUUCUAUUUGGAUCUGUGAUACCACAUUUAGCUUGUGCAAGGGUGCCCACUGAUAAAUAGAGAUUGGUAAGGGCUCAUGGGACUGUUGUUGGGCUUCCCAUGGGGGAUGACACGACUAACAGUGAAGUUUGCUGAGCAAGGGAGGAGCUGGUAAAUGGAGUUAGAGCAACGAGACGAGCAGUAGGUGGGUUAGGCAAAGGUAAUCGGCAUACCCUUUGCCGAUCACGGAGUCCACUGCUCAAGAAAAUAUGCAGCACGGCAAAGAUGAUGGAGGGUUCUUUUCGGGGAACGCUUGCCGCUUGCGGCAAAGAAGAGGGAAGUGGUGGGGCCUAUAGUUAUAUCAACCAAUCAUCCGUUUUUUUUUUAAAUUAGGUUGCCUAAUCUCAGUUUAGGCAUGCAUCCCUUAUGUUUUUUGGGCACUAGGCAAAAAUGAUAGGCAAAAUACAUGGCACAACAUGAUUGGGUGGGGGGAACUUCGUCUAAUCCCUUUAGGCAUGCAUCCCUUACACCCUAAGGACUUUGCUAUGUAAAAAAAAAAGCUAAAAAUUGUUUAUUUAUAUAAAUUUGUGAUAUGAUGUAUUCA
rnacentral:lncRNA from 1 species